GCAGCAGACGCGUUGCGUGCAACAGUUGUGCUCUAGGUCAUCGGUGCACAGUGCAUGCCGGGUUCCGGGGCUCACCUACCACGCCUACUGUACAUAUAUUUUGGAGCUGUAGCAUUUUCGUUAUUGGGCUACCUCUGCAAGCCCGCCGGCUUUCCUCAAGAGCCGGAAAAGGGCGGGCCCCCCCUGCAUAUAUCCGUACAGGCCGGUGCUAGGGCGGCAUGUGUGAUAAUUGAUGGGUAGUGCCAACGUGGUGAGAGCUGUGCUUGUUGCAGCAGUGCUGAUGCGGUGGGAGCUAUGCUUGUCAGAGCACGGGAGGCAGGACGCUGGGGCUCAUAACCUUUUGAAGAGACGGUGUCUCCCUGGAACCUAGCAGACAUGGUGAAGAGUCAUUGGCUGUUACACGUAGUCGGGAGGUCCACGACCUGCCACCGACAGCCCCUUGCUUGGGCGUAAAUGUAUGAGCCUGAGGUGCCGUUACCGGCACACAGCAGGGGCUCGGCCGCCAAGUCCGCUCAGCAGACACAAUCGCAGCUUGCCAGCCUUCAGCCUGUUGGCUUUGCGGUCUGGUGCUGUUGUAGUGUAGUGCAGUGCUACUGGCCCGUGAAGUAUGUCUCAGGCCGGCACUGCCCCGACCACGGUAUAAGACCGCGCUCCGAACGUGAGUAGAAUAUGAAUUCUAAAAGAACCCACGUCCGUUCUGUGAGCAAAGACGAUUUCAGUAGAUUUAUGGAUUUCGGUAAGGCUGUCGUACAGAUUCAUGAUGUUCAGUUUUGAUGAAUUCUUACAAACGAUUCUUGACAGCCAGGUCAGUUUUCGGAAGAUUUCAUGAUCAUAAUUGAUUCGCAUAUUUCUUGAUAAGCUCAUCAUUACUGUGUAGCUAUCGCGCUACAACAGCUGCCUCCUUCCCCCAGGAACCAGCGUCCUCGCUGUGUUCCGGGUGAGCUUUCCAGUAUUCAGUAAUCAGAUUUCGAUCGGAAAUAUCGGUAGAAUCAAGCCACGUAUUGUUUUCAUCAGUAUGUCCUUUCCAUUUGACCAGAAAUCGGUAUAAGGUUCGUUUUCUCAAUUUACGGGUUUCAUGCUUCAGGAUUCGUUCAAUCGUCCAGACAGGCUUGGAAGUGACAGGGUCAAGUUCCAAAGCUUUCGGAGGCUGAACAGGUCCAUCAGGGACGUCAGCACAGUAAGGUCGGAGUAAGGACACAUGAAACACAUCGUGGAAUCGGUAUUCAGGAGGCAAAUUCAAACGGAAAGUAACGGAAUUAAUCAUUUCAGUGAUCGGAAAAGGUCCAAUCCAACGGGGCAUCAGUUUUCGUGUACCUUUCUGUAUAGACAGAUUUUUCGUACUCAGUAAUACCUGUUGACCAACAUGGAGGGUUACGGUACGUCGUUUCUUACUCUCCUGUUGUACAGCUCGGUCUUGCGCAGACUGAUAAAAUCGUUUCGCAAGAUUCAGUCGUUCAUGAAACGUAUCCACGUACACCUUAGCAGCAGGAACGGUAUCAGCAAGUUCCAACUGUAAAGGCGUUCGCGGGUGGAAACCGUAAUUCAGAAAGAAAGGUGACUGACCCGUGGUUCGGUUUCGCAGAUUGUUAAUCGCGAAUUCAGCGGCAUCGAGAUAACGAUCCCAUUGUUCAGUGUCAGUCGAAACGUAUUGUCGUAACAUAUCUCCAAGGAUUCGGUUGAUUCGUUCGGUUUGUCCAUCGGUUUCAGGGUGAAAAGCGGUACUCGUGUUUUGUUUCGCACCAGCUCGAUUGAGCAAAGCCGGUAGAAACAGAUUCUUAAAUCUCGGGUCACGGUCGGAGAUAAUCUUUUGUGGCAUUCCAUGAAGUCUCACAACGUGAUGAAACAUCAUGUCAGCACAUUGUUCGGCGGUAGCGGUAGUACGGCAAGGAGCCAAAUGUACCAUUUUCGUUAGGCGAUCCACAAACACCAGAAUAGCAUCGUGCUGGCGUUUGGUUUUCGGAAGUCCCACAAUAAAGUCCAUGGAAAUACUUUCCCAAGGCAUAUCAGGGAUCGGUAGUGGAUGUAAUUCACCUGCCGGUAAACCAGAAGCCGGUUUGGUUCGGAGACAUACAUCACACUUCGCCACAAAAUCCGUGACAUCAGUUCGAGGAGUUGGCCACCAGAAACUUCGUUGAACCAAUUCAAUGGUCCGAUCACGACCAGGAUGACCAGAUAAACGAUCAGAGUGACUUCGUGAGAUAAUUUCGUGUUUCAGAAUCGGAUCAUUCGGUACGACGAUUCGGUGAUUCCCCUCCUCCUCCAAGACAAAGAACCCUCCUGGGUGUUCAUAAAAUUCUCGUGUAUUAUUCGGAUUCUGAAACCAGGCGUCCUUGCGGGUCGCUUCCGCAAUUCGGGACGAAAUCGGAAGGUCGGAAGAAGGAGUAAGGGGAGGAACCGCACAGAGAAUCAUGGCCAGAUUCGGAUGUCGAGAAAGAGCAUCGGCAACAACGUUGAGUUUCCCAGGUCGGUAGACCCACUCAAACGUAAACUGCUCGAGGAAUUCAACCCAGCGUGCCUGCCGUCGACUCAGAUGAGCUUGUGUUUUCAGAUACGUAAGCGGAUGAUGAUCGGUAACGAGGGUAAAAGGGAUGUUGCUUUGCAAGUAACAUCGCCACUCGCGUAAAGCAUUCACAACGCCCAACAGUUCUUGUUCACCGGUAGAGUAGUUGCGUUCGGCAGCGGAAAAUUUCUUACUCGUGAAAGCAAUCGACGACCAUCUUGCAACAGUACGGCACCGGUUCCAUUGAGCGAUGCAUCGGAAACAAGCUCAAACGGUUUCGAGAAGUCCGGGUAAUUCAGUAAGACAUCGGUUGACAGGCAUUCUUUAAUGGAUUGAAACGCGGCCAGCGCCUGAGGUGGCCAUUCAUCCGGGAGGCGCGGUUUGCCAAAGAGAUCCGUAAGUGGCGCGGCCAAAGACGCAAAAUUUCGGAUAAAUCGUCGGAAAUAGUUCGCAAGGCCAACGAAGGCGCGCAGCUCACUUAGGUCCUUAGGUUGUGGCCAAUUUCGGAUCGUGUCCACCUUAUUCGGGUCCAUUCGGAUACCAGCAGAGCCUACGAUGUGACCAAGGUACUUGACUUCGGUUUUCCAGAAUUCACAUUUCGAAAGUUUCGCGUGCAGUUGGUGUUUUCGGAGCGUUUCAAGAACCAACCGCAAAUGCUCAGCGUGUUCUUCCGGAGUUUUCGAAAAGAUCAGAAUAUCAUCCAGAUAUACAGUGACAAAUCGGUGCAUAUACGGUGCGAAAAUCCGAUUCAUGGUUGCUUGAAACGUCGCAGGAGCAUUGGAAAGCCCAAAAGGCAACACCAACCACUCGAAAUGUCCCAACGGUGUAUUAAAAGCAGAUUUCGGGACGUCAUCCGGGUGAAUUCGGAGUUGAUGAUAACCAGAAGCCAAGUCGAGAGCGGAAAAGAUUCGUGCUCCCGCCAACCGGUCUAACGUGUCAUCAAUUCGUGGUAACGGAUAUUUGUUCUUAAUCGUUAAUCGAUUCAAGGCUCGGUAAUCGAUACACAUACGGAGCUCACCGGUCUUCUUGGUCACAAAGAGGAUAGGCGCACCAAAAGGAGAUGUUGAGGGUUGAAUAAACCCUUUAGCCAGCAAGUCCUUGACCUGCUUCUCAACUUCUUCCUUUUCCAACGGUGUCAAACGGUACUGACGCCGGUAAAUCGGUUGUGCACCAGGCUCUAACGGAAUCGUAUGAUGUACCCCACGAUCAGGAGGUAGCCCGGAAAUCGGAGCAAACACAUCCGCAUAUUCGUGCAAGAUUGUUGCUAAGGUUCGGUUCGUUUCGAUUUCAGGUGGAAGUUCGAGAGAAUUGACCUGAGAAAUGGGGCUGGUCGGAGGAUGUGCGGUAGAUUCGGUUAACGGUUUCACGACAACCAGCAACCCACGCGAGCCGGGCGACUCAAAAAGGUCUCUAAACGCGCGCUCCACGGAUACCACAGACGUGCGAGCUGGCGCUCUUUCCAACAACAGAAAUUCGGGUUUCGGUGAUUCGGAAACAGAAGAAGACGGGGCGUGCAUCGCUCGCAACGUACAUCGCGCACCGUUUGGCCGUAAUAAACUCAGUUCGCUAUGCGCAGGCCUUAAUUGCGCAUCAUAACGGGUUAAGAAGUUCGUGCCAAGGAUCACAUCCGCAGAUACAGUCAAAGCCGGUAAAACGAGCAAACGGAUAUCGGUACCGAAACUACCAAGGCGCAAACGAGCUCGACACUCACCAAGAAUAGGUACGGUCGACUGGUCGGCCAGGCGCACUGGAGCAAGCGGUGUAGGCAAAAUCCGCAAGCCAAGUUUGGUAGCCAUGAGCUGGGAAACGAAGCAGUGUGUUGCGCCAGUGUCCGGGAGAACUCGUACGGCAUUAGCACCAAGUCGUCCAGCAAAUAAAUGCAACUGAUUAUCGGCCCUAUGGCAUAAACAUGCCGGUNNNNNNNNNNNNNNNNNNNNNNNNNNNNNNNNNNNNNNNNNNNNNNNNNNCCCGGCUGAAACGCGUUAUUGGUAAUAUAUUGCAUUCUCUAUUGCAAGGUAUCUCGCCUGUAGCCAACAAGCAUCGUAUGGGCACUGCCUUCAUGCUGUACGGCACUGUCUUCCGUGUGUGUUCGGGCUGCAGCACCAGACCGCAAAGCCAACAGGCUGAAGGCUGGCAAGCUGCGAUUGUGUCUGCUGAGCGGACUUGGCGGCCAAGCCCCUGCUGUGUGCCGGUAACGGCACCUCAGGCUCAUACAUUUACGCCCAAGCAAGGGGCUGUCGGUGGCAGGUCGUGGACCUCCCGACUACGUGUAACAGCCAAUGACUCUUCACCAUGUCUGCUAGGUUCCAGGGAGACACCGUCUCUUCAAAAGGUUAUGAGCCCCAGCGUCCUGCCUCCCGUGCUCUGACAAGCAUAGCUCCCACCGCAUCAGCACUGCUGCAACAAGCACAGCUCUCACCACGUUGGCACUACCCAUCAAUUAUCACACAUGCCGCCCUAGCACCGGCCUGUACGGAUAUAUGCAGGGGGGGCCCGCCCUUUUCCGGCUCUUGAGGAAAGCCGGCGGGCUUGCAAAGGUAGCCCAAUAACAAAAAUGCUACAGCUCCAAAAUAUAUGUACAGUAGGCGUGGNNNNNNNNNNNNNNNNNNNNNNNNNNNNNNNNNNNNNNNNNNNNNNNNNNGGACAAGGCAUCCUCCAAUUGGCACGCGGUAAAUUGACUUAGAUUGUUUGCCCUGGCAAACUUAUGUACUCCAAACUCAUCCACUGGACGAUGCUGGCUGUAUUUCUUGCGUGGGCGAUCUUGUCGCCGACGGGCGAUGUUGUCCAGGGCGUUCCGGUCAAACUCGUAGGCGCCGACCUCAUUACCGUUGUCCAUGGACAUUGUGUUGGAAGGAUACGUUAAGGUUCAGAUAAAAUGAAGAAAUCAAGAAGCGCUACUUCAUAGUAUGGAGAUGGUAGAAUCUUCAAGCAACUUUUGAACGACCAGGGAGAGUUGCUGAUAGGCGAAUUUGUAUGAAGCUAUAGAAUUCCUUUAUUCUUUUAAGGUAAAUGAAUGCUUAUGUAUUCGUCCGUUAGUAGCGUGAAGCUUUGAACACUCUUUGUACGGCAGAUUCGGCACAAUGUUUUGCCUCAUUGCGAUGUUGCCUGAAAUUUUGAACAGAAGGGAUCACUGCUCAUGCUGGUGCAGCAAGACAUGUAAGGAGAUGGCCUCGUCACAAUCCAGCAGUCAUAUAUCGACAAUCUCAAGCUAUGACAACUUGUUACAUGUGUCUGUAAUAAAAAAAGGACUUUGCGAUGGUGUGGGGAGCUCUUUGAGUGGUGGGAUUGUGGAAAUCCAGUUUGUUUCGCCCGUAACAAGUUUGUUACGGGCGAAACAACGUCCCUCUGGAACGUUUGGAUAUGCCUUUGCAACACAUUUCCUCAAUUUCAUGAACUGCAAGUAUUUUAAUCCAACAUCACCCCAAUCUCAGUGUAAACUAGUCUCCAAAUGUGCCUGCACAAGACUGUCACCCCUGUCACCCGGCAUUCACAUUGCCUUAACCUCCUCAAGCUUGUCGGGGUGUGACACGUGGGCAUGAACCUUGUGACAAUGGGCAUUGUCACAAAGAAACUGGUUGCAAUCAGAAAUGCAUUUUUGCUCAUGCCAGGUUACCGACAUCGGUUACCGAUUACUGGGGACGGUUAACGGAUAACGGUUCGCCCGGUAAUCCUACCGACCGGUUACCCAUCUCGUUAACUGGACCCGUUAGGUCGGAACCGGGCCGGAACCGGCCUGGAGUAUGCCAUUGGGCGGUUUCGGUUAUAGAACAUUUCGGCUCAAUCGGUUUUCCUUUAGGUGGAUCCCACCAAAUUUCAUAAGUGCUCGUUUCAGGCGGAGGAUCUGGACAACCAACCCGAUAUGAACGGUACAACUGAGUUCCAGACGGUAAAAUCAUAAGUCGUGUCAUGUCUUUCAGAUAGGGACGUAUUCGUUUCUGUUCAGUUGGAAUCAGAAUACAAGAGGAUAUGCUAGGAUCAUAACUCUUGCAACGGUGGUAAUGACGGAGGAAAUCGGAUAACAAUUUCGUGGGAGGAUUCAUCCAGAUAGUGUGGCCAGAACAAUCGGAAUUGAGAAAGGAGCGAGUCGGCGAAGCAAACGUGUUACAAACGGAAUUACUCCCAUCAUCGUUCACAGCAGCGUCCAAAGAAAACGUUCGACCAAUUCGACGCUCUAGUUGUCGCAACAACUCAUAAUCAAUAAUUCGGAAAUCAUGCAAAUUCAUGUCCCCAGUACGCGUGCCACACGAAAACGACUGGGCAAACUCCUAUCGGUUCUCUGGCCGACGAAACAUCUCCGGUGUUACCAGCGGAUUCGGACAGCGCGAGCUGAUGUGGUCAUUCUGAAUGCCGCAACGGUAGCACUUCCCUUGCUGCAUCCAUUGGUACUUCUCCCAAUUCGUAAGGAAAGUACCUAAAUGGAGAGGAUUCGGAGUUCGCGAUGGCUCGUUGGGCCUGUUCAGAGCCGCCUGCAUAACCGACACCUUUGCAUCGGAAGACGGAGGUCGUGGAGGUGCCAGUACAGGGGGUCCAGGGAUCGGAGGCGGUGGUCCAGCAGGCGCAACGGAGCGCGCUGGCGGACGAACGGAGUUCAUGACGUUGGUCGCAGUUCCAGCCACCACGGUGGGUUCGGUAGCCGGAGGUCGGUCCGCCCUGACACGCUUCACAACGACAUCGCGCCACGGUUGCGGUUCGGUGUUUCGUUUGCCGGAGAGCUUCGAAGAAUCCUGUCGGGAGCCGUGAAAACGGUGCUUAGUUUUCGUGGAAGCGGCAGCAGCAUAGUGAAGAGCCGCGCGAGAUUGGCCCUGCCCGCGAGCUUGCAAUCUUCGUUCUUCAGUAAGCGCAAAUUGCACAAUUGUAUCAAGAUCGGUAAAUUCAGCACCACGAAGAUCAACUCGGCAAAGCGGACGAAGUUCAGGAAUCAAUCCCAUAUAAAACAAUUUCGCAAGCGAUUUCUGAACGGUAAACUUAGCACGGCGAGCGACUUCACGAAAACGAACAGCAUAUUCAGCUAUCCCUUUUGAAGCAUCCAUUCGGAUCUCCCCUUUCAGUAAAGAUUCAAGUGAUUCAGUUUCCUUGUCGCGUACCUUCGGUUCGAAGUAAUCCAGGAACGCGGUCAACAGCUCCGGUAAAACAAUCGGUUUAUUAGCAUUGUGCGACUCGGUUCGAUAUUCGGAAAGCCAGUCCAGAGCGCCAGGUGGGUGUUCGCGCACCGUGUGGCGCAGUUGCCACAAGGCGUCAUCGGUGUUGUUCGGUGCGUACUUAGCAACCCAUUCUUGAAAAUCGUUGGCGAACAUUUCAAGGCUACUGGACUUGCUCGGCUGCGGUGGUUCAAUUCGGAACGUGAAUCGGGGUUCGGUACGCGCAAGAUUCGUAGUAUCAGGACUCACCACCGGAACUGGUGCGGUUGACGGGCCAGCUCCAGAGUUCUUAAUUGUCGCGAGUUCAAUUUCCGCCUGAACUAGUUGGAGUUUCAGCUCCACCAAUUCGUGUUCACCACGGGAUGGACCGGCGGAGCCGCCAGCAUCCCUAGUCGGUUCGGUGGCUCGCUGUGAGUUCGCUUGAGUCGGUUGAUUCGGUAGGUUCAGUGAGUCCAGCGGGUUCGGUAGAAUCGGUGGUGGUACAGUGGUUUCAUCUACAUUCAUGGAAUCGGUUAUCGUGGACGGAUCCAUGGCGGAACGACAGGAAGUCGCGUUCAAAGCCGCCAACCUUGAACAGAGAGACGAAGUCCAGCAAGUAGGGCUUGUAACAGGGCUUCGUUGGGAGUGCGCGGUGGACCGGAGAACAUCCGCCUCAGAAGUCAAUGGUCAGCCGCCCUUCAAUGAGGGAGGCGGCUGGUACGCUAAAUUAAGCCAACUACUUAGAGAAUAAUAUAUUAAUAGCAAUGCGCUGCUGAGACACCAAAAGAUGUUGUAGUGUAGUGCAGUGCUACUGGCCCGUGAAGUAUGUCUCAGGCCGGCACUGCCCCGACCACGGUAUAAGACCGCGCUCCGAACGUGAGUAGAAUAUGAAUUCUAAAAGAACCCACGACCGUUCUGUGAGCAAAGACGAUUUCAGUAGAUUUAUGGAUUUCGGUAAGGCUGUCGUACAGAUUCAUGAUGUUCAGUUUUGAUGAAUUCUUACAAACGAUUCUUGACAGCCAGGUCAGUUUUCGGAAGAUUUCAUGAUCAUAAUUGAUUCGCAUAUUUCUUGAUAAGCUCAUCAUUACUGUGUAGCUAUCGCGCUACAACAGGUGCUGCAGCCCGAACACACACGGAAGACAGUGCCGUACAGCAUGAAGGCAGUGCCCAUACGAUGCUUGUUGGCUACAGGCGAGAUACCUUGCAAUAGAGAAUGCAAUAUAUUACCAAUAACGCGUUUCAGCCGGGCGAGGUAUUAUGUUUGGUCCGUUACACACACACACACACACGGCCACACGGACAUGGGCAAUCCUACAGGGCGGGGCCCCCCUGGGCGCUUCACGCUGGGGCCCCGCCCAAAACCUGGGUCAAGGGGUGGCUGGCUGCUGCGUGGGUAGCUGGCUGUCAAAGGGACUCAUGCAGAGGGUCUAGCGAGCAAGUGACCGAGGAUGGAAACCCACCCGCUAUCUAGCUGGCCUCUGGCUUCUCUCUUUUAAAGUACCAAAUCUAUUUCAGCUGAUGACCGGCAUACGUGAGAGCUCAACAUAUGGGAGCUGUGCUGCUUAUGCGCUCCCGGCUGUGAUCCCCUAUGUGUUGAAUGCAUCCAAGCAAUUCUUGGUGUCACAGCUCCCUCACAGCACUUUUAGGUGGCUUCACGUGGCCAACGUGCGUCGACAUAAGCUAUAGCUUGUGGCACAUGUUUUUUGGGGUUGGGGUUGGCAUGAAUGUCCCGGUGGCGUUGUUUCGCCGUAGACCAGCAUGCACCUGGUAGCAUUGCUAGCUAGAGCUGGACUGUCAUGCAGUGUGAGCCGUGCCACUCUGCUGCUGACCAGCCAUGAGGAUGUCGAUGCUGGGCGUUUN
rnacentral:lncRNA from 1 species